CGGACGGGUGAGUAAUGUCUGGGAAACUGCCUGAUGAGGGGGAUAACUACUGGAAACGGUAGCUAAUACCGCAUAACGUCGCAAGACCAAAGAGGGGGACCUUCGGGCCUCUUGCCAUCAGAUGUGCCCAGAUGGGAUUAGCUAGUAGGUGGGGUAACGGCUCACCUAGGUGACGAUCCCUAGCUGGUCUGAGAGGAUGACCAGCCACACUGGAACUGAGACACGGUCCAGACUCCUACGGGAGGCAGCAUG
rnacentral:rRNA from 1 species